rnacentral:tRNA from 1 species
GGUCCUGUAGCUCAGUGGUUAGAGCGACGGUCUUAUGAGCCAUAGGCCGUGGGUUCGACCCCCGCCGGGACUA